rnacentral:rRNA from 1 species
AUUGAACGCUGGCGGCAUGCCUUACACAUGCAAGUCGAACGGUAACAGGUCUUCGGAUGCUGACGAGUGGCGAACGGGUGAGUAAUACAUCGGAACGUGCCUAGUAGUGGGGAUAACUACUCGAAAGAGUGGCUAAUACCGCAUGAGAUUUACGGAUGAAAGCAGGGGAUCGCAAGACCUUGUGCUACUAGAGCGGCCGAUGGCAGAUUAGGUAGUUGGUGGGAUAAAAGCUUACCAAGCCGACGAUCUGUAGCGGGUCUGAGAGGACGAUCAGCCACACUGGGACUGAGACACGGCCCAGACUCCUACGGGAGGCAGCAGUGGGGAAUUUUGGACAAUGGGCGAAAGCCUGAUCCAGCAAUGCCGCGUGCAGGAUGAAGGCCUUCGGGUUGUAAACUGCUUUUGUACGGAACGAAAAGCCCCGGGUUAAUACCCUGGGGUCAUGACGGUACCGUAAGAAUAAGCACCGGCUAACUACGUGCCAGCCGCCGCAGUAA